AACUAAGACACCAGUCCAUAAGUAAGGCAAGAUAGUAAGAUAAUAGCCCAUUAUCGUUAUGAUGGUAACGAGGAAUAUUAGGAAAUGAGCCAUAGCACCUCGAUAAACGAUAGAGGGACCACACCAAAGCUAUUGAUUGAGUGUGUGUGCUUACAAUGGUGUGUUACUAAGCUCUCUGGUCCA